rnacentral:rRNA from 1 species
AACGAACGCUGGCGGCAGGCCUAACACAUGCAAGUCGAGCGAGGACUUCGGUCCUAGCGGCGGACGGGUGAGUAACGCGUGGGAACGUGCCCUUUGCUUCGGAAUAGCCCUGGGAAACGGGGAGUAAUACCGGAUGAGCCCUUUUGGGGAAAGAUUUAUCGGCGUAGGGUGGGCCCGCGUUGGAUUAGGUAGUUGGGGGGGUAAGGGCCUACCACGCCUUGGAUACAUAGCUGGGUAGAGAGGCUGGUCAGCCACUCUGGGACUGAGACGCGGUCGAGAAUCCUGGGGGAAGGAGCAGAGGGGAAUCCUAGAAUACGGGGUAAGUCAUGAAGGAGCUAGGCCGGGAGAGCGCUGAUGGUGUGAGGGUUGUAAAGCUCUUUAAGCUGGGAAGAUAAUGACGGUACCCGAAGAAGAAGCACCGGCUAACUUCGUG